rnacentral:lncRNA from 1 species
AGGAGCAUUGAGUACUAUGUCAAUUAGAGGAGGUAUUCUACACUGUCACACUUGCACCAUGUCAUCAAUAACAAGCCAAUCACAUUCCUUCUUUUCAAACAAAAGUACAAUAAAAAUAUUUUUUUACAAUUAUGAUGUGACAUAUAUUUUUAAAAAAAUUAAUUUGAUUGAUUUGCUACACUACGUGACUAAUAUACCCGUUGCAUUCUAGAAUUUUUCCAAUUGGAGAUAGAAAAAAAUUUCUGUCGGUAUUUUUG